rnacentral:lncRNA from 1 species
GCAUGUUCUCUUAACUCAUGAAGUCCCUAAAGGGUGAUUUGCUCCUGGACGGCUAGGGCGGGGAAGGGUGUGGAGUUAAUCAUUUAAAAAACUGUGAAUCAGACCUGUAUUUGCUGAGCUUUUCUUUCUAUAGCAACUCCAGAUUUGUGUUGUGUUCAGCAAGUAUGGAUCCAGCUACCUUCAAAUAUUAAAUGUCCUCUGGGAUGGGACCCAAAGACGCUCUAGUGACCAUGGUCACACAGGUUCAAAAAUGAAUAAAUCAGUCCUGAAACUUGAGGCGGGGUGGGAACAGGAUAAUGGAAAGCCUACACAUGAAAUUCCAUUGACGAGGGCCCCUGGGACGGCAUUGAUUGCUCCUGGAGAGAAAUGAAUUGUAACGAGAGAAAUGACAAGGUGACUGAGCCAUUUUUGUCUUUAAAUAUAGCAACAAUACUCUUGUUGGGGAUAAUUUCAGCAAAUGACUGAAUAGGGGAGUCCAAUUCAGGUAGCAUCAUAGAAAAGGAGCCAUAAAAUACAUUAUCUACCCAAAUUUUCUUCCUGCUUAAUGUGAUGUUUUAAUAUUAUUUAUACAGCCUUUUAUUAUUGCCAGGUAGAAAUACAUACAUAUAAAUGUGUGACAUCCGUCGUCUUCGUUUUGAAAAAAAUAUCCUGUUACUAAAUCUCGCUUGAAGUGAAGACAGCCUCACAGGAUUUUUCAAAAGACAGAUCUCCCAUGAAUCAUCUUGCUCCUCCCCAAGCCAGGCUACUGCAAACAGCACAGGAAUGAAUGGUCUUGAAAAUGCUGGGGAGGGAGUUGUUGUGGCUCAGGGGUAAUGAACCCGACUGGUAUCCAUGAGGACAAGAGUUCAAUCACUGGCCCUGCUCAGUGGGUUAAGGAUCUGGCAUUGCCCAUGAGCUGUGGUGGAGGUCAAAGACCGGCUCAGAUCUCCCAUUGCUGUGGCUGUAGUGCAAACCGGUAGCUGCAGCUCCGAUUCGACCCCUAGCCUGGGGACCUCCAUAUGCCACACCUGAAGCACUAAAAAGCGGAAGGGAGGAAAGGAGGGAGGGAGGGAGGGAAAGGAGGAAGGGAAGAAGGGAGGAAGGGGAAAGACCAAAGACCUCCACUUAUUGGUGGAGGGGAUUUAACUUCUUAAUUCAGAGUGAUGGGUGAGAUCAUCGCCUACAUUAUAUUUCCUAGAAUAUGUGGGUUUCGGUUAGGGCUCAGGGUCACUGGAAGCAGAUUAAUCAAAACAAAAAAAAAAUUUUUUAAAUACAUUCUUAACCUGAGAGAUUUUUUUGUAAUCGAGCAUUAGAAUGCAAGUGUAAACACAGAAGUUUCCAGAGAGUGCGAGAAACUGCUGUUUUCUUCCUUCUGUAGCCUCUUGCAUUGUUUUGUGAUGGCAAUCCCCCACCUUCCUCUGCAGCCUCGUUUUCAACCACUUUGCUCAGUGGGUUUGGAUAGUGGGUCUCACACUUGAAGGCGUUCGGAUAUUUUGAGGGUACUUAUUACAGAGGCAGGAGACUGACCCCACCUUAGAUCUACAGGAGCUCUGGGGGUGGGGCGGGACUCUUCAUUUUAAAUAAGCCACAGGCUCACUUCUGACCCAUAAGCACUAGCUAGAGCCCUGUUUUUUUGGACUCUCCAUUCCUCUAUCAACUCCCCUUGAGAGAGGAAGGAGCGCUUCUCAAACGCACGUUGACUCACCUGGAAAUCUCAUGCAAAUACAGAGUUUGAUUCCACUGGUCUGGGGUGGGACCUGAGCGUCGGCCUUCCUAGCAAGCCCCCAGAUGAUGCUGAUGCUGCUGGGCCAAGGACCACAUCUUGAGUAGCAAGGAUUUAAACCAAGAAAUCUGUGACCUUUUACAGAAUGCCCCUCCCUGCCCCUACUGUCAUUCCCACUGAAGGAAAUUUCAUCCUACCUGAUGUAACCCUGAAAAAUGUCCCUACUUGGGCUUCUUUAAAUUGCAGGCUUGCUUCUUCAGCCAUAAAGCCUGGAGGCUGACUCAGCAUUUACAGUACGUUAUUCUAAGCACAUAAAAUCCAUGGCAAAAUUAGCUAUCAUUUCACAAUGCACCGUCAAUAAUGCAUGGCCUGGUGAUUAGACAUAAGCAGGCUACACAAUUGCCUUAACAUUACUUUCACACAAAUCCCACCUUUAGAAUUUGCCUUCUUAUUCAAUCGGGUUCCUUCCAAUACACAAUCCUGUUCUCACUCACCCAGUGAUGUGAAUAAGCCUAAACUGGGGUAUAGAUGAUUGUGCGAUGCCAUUUUGUGUUUGACAGGGAAAACAGAAAGGCAUUUGCAAGGUAAAUCAUUAAAGAAAGCAAAGUCAGAGAAAGGUAAAAUCAGAAUUUCCCAGAUUUAGGAGUUCCCAUUGUGGCUUAGUGGUAACAAAUCUGACUAGUAUCCAUGAGGAUGCCGGUUCGAUCCCUGGCCUUGCUUAGUGGGUUAAGGACCCUGCAUUGCUGUGGCUGUGGUGUAGGCUGGCAGCUGUAACUCUGAUUUGACCCCUAGCCUGGGAACUUCCCUAUGCCACAGGUGAGGCCCUGAAAAGACAAAAAAAAAAAAAA